rnacentral:lncRNA from 1 species
GUGGCUGUAUGCUUGUAUAUAUGUUGGGGGUCGGGUCGGGACCGGCAGUUCCUGCAGGCUCGGGUGGCUUUUCGUUUUCGCUGUGCGAGUUCUGGGAACCAUAUGGCCCUAUCCGUAUGUCGUUAGGUUCGGGUCGUUGUGAUGUCCGGCGCUAUAGGAGCUAGAGCGUGCAGAUGUGAACGGGGUGUAUCUUCUGGCAUGCCCAACGGCCAAUCUUGCAUUGGCAGCCACUUAUCCUAUCAGAUCAUAUCUAGUAUGCUUUAAUUUCUCCGACCGAAGAUCUUGGAGCUCGGCAGCGGCAGAUCAAGACAGACGACUACCCCCAUGUGCUAGGAGCAGGGGGGCAGAGACAGAGUUGCUGUAGUUGCUUGGUGUUUUAAUUUGUACAUUUGGGUUGCCUUAUAUGCUCAUGGUCUGUAGUGUUGGCGUCACCUAUCACUUGAUUCAUGGAGCGUGAUUGGCAGUAGAUGAUCGACUAGUACUUAGUAAUAGUUAAACGAGAUUUCAUAAGAUCACAUGUUGGAUCUGAUCAUUUGAACACUAGUUUAGGUGUACAAGUCGUCACUAUUCUUGCUGGUAGGAGCGUGAUUGUAGCAGGAAAACUGCAACCUAGAAAUGGUUUAAUUUGACAAUUUGUCUUCCUCGUUCUAUGGAGUACACGGAAAGUACGAGACAGCAAUACAGAACAGACGGACUUUGUCUGCCGAGGUGUUUGCUGAGAUUGUAUUACAAAAAUUGCACCUACUGCACUAGCUCCUAGCUAGGAAAUAAGGGAACAAUCAGGUAACAACCCGCGUUGCAUUGGCCGGUGAUGGUGGAUUACUUGUGCAUGGGUGCCGUGACACUUGGAGCGGCUUUUGCUGUUCGAAAAUGG